CCUACGGGGGGCAGCAGUCGAGAAUCAUUCACAAUGGGGGAAACCCUGAUGGUGCGACGCCGCGUGGGGGAAUGAAGGUCUUCGGAUUGUAAACCCCUGUCAUGUGGGAGCAAAUUAAAAAGAUAGUACCACAAGAGGAAGAGACGGCUAACUCUGUGCCAGCAGCCGCGGUAAUACAGAGGUCUCAAGCGUUGUUCGGAAUCACUGGGCGUAAAGCGUGCGUAGGCUGUUUCGUAAGUCGUGUGUGAAAGGCGCGGGCUCAACCCGCGGACGGCACAUGAUACUGCGAGACUAGAGUAAUGGAGGGGGAACCGGAAUGCUCGGUGUAGCAGUGAAAUGCGGAGAUAUCGAGAGGAACACUCGUGGCGAAGGCGGGUUCCUGGACAUUAACUGACGCUGAGGCACGAAGGCCAGGGGAGCGAAAGGGAUUAGAUACCCCUGUAGUC
rnacentral:rRNA from 1 species